AGGUGGUGGAACGAGCAAAGAUGAAUGGCUGACACAGCAUCAUUGUGUGCUCUACUAAUAAGUUCCUGAAUUUCCCUUUAGUUGGAGAAUAAGUGCCAGUGAAGCUCUCAAGCACCCCUGGUUGUCAGACCACAAGCUCCACUCCAGACUCAAUGCACAGGAAAACUGCUGUGGUUGCUGCUGCUUUGAGAAGACUUUUGAACACUCAGCAGUUCUGA
rnacentral:lncRNA from 1 species